rnacentral:misc_RNA from 1 species
UCUGGCCUGUUGCUUGGUUUUCCAGGCCACGGCGCAUCUGGUUUCCUCAGGUUCACAUUUCUUGAUCGAUAGCUCGCCUCGGGGCUUUUCCCGCGGCGGAUUUGUUCUGACACGUAUCUUUCAAGGAAUAGCAAAAUGUCAACAGGCAUAGUCAAAUGGUUCAACGAUGCAAAGGGUUUCGGGUUCAUUACGCCCGAUGAUGGUGGCAAGGACUUGUUCGCGCACUUCUCCGAAGUGCAGGCAAGCGGGUUUAAGUCGCUAGCCGAAGGUCAGCGCGUCGAGUUUGUCGUCCGCCAGGGUGCCAAAGGCCCUCAGGCAGCGGAAAUCCGUCCGUCCUAAACGAGCGGGCAACACAAAAGAGCCGCGGCCCUGCGCCGCGGUUUUUUUA